GUCUGUGGUCAAGCUACCCUGAACAAGCCCGAUCCCGUCUGAUCUCAGAAGCUAAGCAGAUUCGGGCCUGGUUAGUACUUGAAUGGGAGACCACCUAGGAAGACCAGGUGCUGUAGGUG
rnacentral:rRNA from 1 species